AGAACGAACGCUGGCGGCAGGCCUCAAACAUGCAAGUCUAGGGGGUGUAGCAAUACAUCACCGGCGGACGGGUGCGUAACACGUGGGAAUAUACCUUUUGGUUCGGAACAACGCAGGGAAACUUGCGCUAAUACCGAAUGUGCCCUUACGGGGAAAGAUUUAUCGCCAAAGGAUUAGCCCGCGUAGGAUUAGCUAGUUGGUGAGGUAAUGGCUCACCAAGGCUCCGAUCCUUAGCUGUUCUGAGAGGAAGAUCAGCCACACUGGGACUGAGACACGGCCCAGACUCCUACGGGAGGCAGCAGUUGGGAAUCUUGGACAAUGGGGGAAACCCUGAUCCAGCCAUGCCGCGUGAGUGAUGAAGGCCUUCGGGUUGUAAAACUCUUUCGGACGGGGACGAUAAUGACGGUACCCGUAGAAGAAGCGUCCGGCUAACUUCGCGCCAGCAGCCGC
rnacentral:rRNA from 1 species